AGCAGUCGCCGCGGGAAUACAGAGGGUGCGAGCGUUAAUCGGAUUUACUGGGCGUAAAGCGUGCGUAGGCGGCUUCUUAAGUCGGAUGUGAAAUCCCUGAGCUUAACUUAGGAAUUGCAUUCGAUACUGGGAAGCUAGAGUAUGGGAGAGGAUGGUAGAAUUCCAGGUGUAGCGGUGAAAUGCGUAGAGAUCUGGAGGAAUACCGAUGGCGAAGGCAGCCAUCUGGCCUAAUACUGACGCUGAGGUACGAAAGCAUUGGGAGCAAACAGGAUUAGAUACCCCCGUAGUCCCUGUCUCUUAUAC
rnacentral:rRNA from 1 species